UACAUGUGUAGAUUAAUGUUGACAGAAUUUAAAAGUGACAAGUGUUGGUCGAGUGAGACAUUUUCUGCAUAUUGCAGGGUGUGGCAGUAAUAGUGCUUAACCAGUCACAUGCAUUGUUGCAUUACCUUACUGAGACUAGCAAUGUGUAAGAAUAAUUAGUAGUUAAGAUCAUUUUAAUUAUGUGUUUGAUAAUAUUGGCUUUUUUAUGUUUUUGAUCGGAUGAUUGCAAUUAAUUUUGGGCCUAUUGCAAGAAAAGAAAGGCAUAUAGAAUUAGAGGUAAUUCAAGACCCAAAAAAUUUAAAAAAGAAAAGAAAAGAAAAAAGAAUCCGAAAGCAUGUGUUUCCCCCACCAUCAAGAGAGUAGAGAAAGACCUGAACCUCAACCAAGAGGAAAACCCUAGCUUCCCACCACCGCCGCAAAGAGGAACCUUUUUUUCCGCCUCCAGAGCAGCGGCUUGUGUCUUCGAGUACCCAUCCGUCACAAUCAGUGGCAUUCACGAGUUGCAGGCGCAAAAUUUCAUCAUGGGGCUCGGCGUCGUUGUCUUUCUAUGAUCGGCGUCAUCCUCACCGAGUCGGUGUCAUCUGUCGUUGUCCUCAUCUUCUCAGCGGCGUCUGUCGCCGUCCUUCCUGCGAUCGAAGAUGCAAGUCGAGAUGCACCUCGCUAGGUAUCUGAAGUUCUAUUGCAGCGAAGAUGGGAGUUUGGGCUUUUAUAUUAUGCUAUGUAUAUUUAUAUAUAUAUGCUUAGUGUUCUCCUUUUAUGUAUUUUACCUUGGUGCCUCAUAGAGGAUUUUGUUAGUGAACUAGGGUUUAUUUUGAGAACUUUAGAUAUGGAAUUAUAAGUAUGUAUGUUUGUAAAUAUUCUCCGGUUAGCCUUAGCUUCAAAGGCUGAGCUUGGAGCUUGACUACUUUGUAUCCUUGAUC